GGGGGUAUAGCUCAGUUGGUAGAGUACUUGCAUGGCAUGCAAGGUGUCAGCGGUUCGAAUCCGCUUACCUCCA
rnacentral:tRNA from 1 species